AUACGUAGGGGGCGAGCGUUGUCCGGAAUGAUUGGGCGUAAAGGGCGCGUAGGCGGCCCGGUAAGUCUGGAGUGAAAGUCCUGUUUUUAAGAUGGGAAUUGCUUUGGAUACUGUCGGGCUUGAGUGCAGGAGAGGUAAGUGGAAUUCCCAGUGUAGCGGUGAAAUGCGUAGAGAUUGGGAGGAACACCAGUGGCGAAGGCGACUUACUGGACUGUAACUGACGCUGAGGCGCGAAAGUGUGGGGAGCAAACAGGAUUAGAUACCCUGGUAGUCCACACUGUACACGAUGAAUGCUAGGUGUAGGGGGUAUCGACCCCUUCUGUGCCGCAGUCAACACAAUAAGCAUUCCGCCUGGGGAGUACGGCCGCAAGGUUGAAACUCAAAGGAAUUGACGGGG
rnacentral:rRNA from 1 species